rnacentral:lncRNA from 9 species
CCACUUGAGCCUUAAUAAUCCAUCUGUUCUUUCCACCAGACCAAAGGACUGGGGGUCAUGAGGACAGUGACAGUGCUAUAGAAAAGGCCAGACCUCACAAACGUGUUUAAAAAAAUGCCAGUAAAAAUGAAUUCCCUGAUCAUUAUUCAGUUCUGAGAGCAUAGCCCCCAUGUGGAUAAAAGCUUUUCUAACAGAAUUUUUGCAAGCCUUAAAGCAAUAGCUGUCAAGGGGAUGCUUUAAUCCAAUGAGAAAACAUGCAAAUCAUAAUAAGAAUAAAUGUAUAGCCUUGGGAAGGAGGCAAUGUGAAUAAAACCCAUUUGCCAUAUCUUAAAAGGCCCUUUAGGCCUAUCAAAAUAAUUUCUCAGGGACUUCGUUGAGGAGUUUUAAGUGUAUGUUAUCUUGUAAGUUUACCCUAAGGGCAAAAACUGCUAAUAGGGUUGAGGAGUUUGGAAUCCCAUGAGUUGUUGAGGGGGUUGAAUCUCCCACUUUUGAGAAAAGGAGAAGACAACAUGAUAUUUCUCUUAAAAGUCUCAUUCUAGGAAGUCGGCAGGAGCAGGACUGACCAGUAGGAAGGAAUGAUUGACCUGGAGGGGGCCCAGCUGGAAAGAAAAGGGAAGAGACUUAUAAAUCGUAGGUUUGCUAGAUACUCUCAACAUUUGAGUAUCUCCGUGCUCUGAGGACGGAUUUGUUUGAGGUUGGAGGGGUUGAGCAAAGUGUGGGUCUCGUGUCAGUUAAGACAGUAAGGAGCUCAUUUCCAAUGAUAAGGGAAUUUUUACCCUGAUGAUUAAGGGGAAGGACUGGAAAAAACCCUUGUUUGUCCCGAGCAGGCUUAGUCCCUGAGAGGAGCUGAAGGCUGAACGUGGGAGCAUUGUUUAACAUCUUUCAGUUUAAGGCAAGUCUUUUUCCAAUGACCGGGCUUCUUACACAAAUGACAGACAUUUUUAGAGUUUGAAGGCUUUGAUUUAGUUUGUUGAAGCCUCUGGGAGGAGUCUGAUAGCUGUCGAAACAGUAAAUUUAUUAUUUUAGUGGCCUUUCGCUUAUUUGAAUUUUGAAUGGUCCAGGCCAGUUGGUUUGCUAGAUUAACCAAAUCAGGAGCUGCCAUGGCUUCCCAUUUAAACUGGGCUCGCUUUACUAGAAUUGUGAGGUUUUCUUCUCAGCCACUUGUGAACAUGGAAUUAAAGACUCCCUUAGUGGACUCUGCUUCUAUGGAGAGUCCAGGAUUUUCCUUUAGAACCAUUCCAAGUCUGUUGUAACGGUCACGCACAAGUUCAUCAGUCCUUGAGUGUGUGCCUGGAUUUGUUCCAAUCAAUGAAUGGGUUUGGGGAAGGUCUGAGCAAUGGCUGGCUUCAUAUACAGUUUUUGCUAUGUCUUGGGCUUUAGAGCUGUCUGUUGUUAGGACGGCGGAGUGGAGAGAAACAGAGUCUGGUGCAGUGAGAUCACAAGCAGGUUUAAAGACCAACAGAGUGGCCAUGAGCACUGAGCAGAGAGAACUCAGGCUCCCCGCUCUAGGGGCAAGGGCUUUUUUAUGGUUAGGGUUUCGUGUGAUAGGUCAUGUCUUCUCAAGGAGAAAGGGGAAGAGGGCUUGGGAAACAGGGAAAGAGGAUUUAGGUUAUUAAGUGUCAAUUUUAACAGUCCUUUUGGCUUUAUUUUGAGGCUUAACAGCUCCUUAAAUUAUCUUGGUCCUAGAGCCUUCAUCCAUGUUGGAGUCUGUUUCCUAUUCGUUUGGUCAGUUGAAAUCGUGUCUGGAGCUUGGAUGGAAUCUUGAUGAUAUGGCUGAUUUCAUGUCUUCUGUUUUGAACUUGCUCUCCAUGUAAGAGACACCACAUAACAUCUGUCACCUGGCAUGGUCCAUUGAAGAACCUCUAAAGGAUGAUUCCAGCCAGCUUUAGCCUUCCAGAGUUGUGCCUGACCUUCUCCCAAGAGCUUGUGGACUAAUUGAUAAAAGAUCAGGAAACCCAGACUCAUAGAUUUUAAUGACAGUGUUAAAUUCCUCUGCAAAACAGUGACGUCCUCAGUAACCUUGGGAAAUUUUUUUUGGCUACAGCUGGCAAUUCUGCCUUAGUCCAAAAAUGUGUAAAUUACAUUCAUUUUGGGGUUUCUAUUUAAAUGGAUGAGUUUGAACUGGUCAAAUGGAAGAGGUUGGGGGUGGAGAAUCAAGGGGGGGUCUCAGGUCUUGGGGAUAAAAAGGGAAUUUAGCAAGUUAAGGGGGAAAUUAAAAAGGAGACAUCAAGGAAUGGAAGACAGACUUGAAAAGAAGGAGGGAGUGAUAGAGAAAAGUUUUGAACCUUUUGUAACUGAGAAAUCUUUUCAGGAAGUUUAGAAUUUGUGUCUUCGAGGGAAAUGAUUCCGGGGAUCAGAAAUUGCAAUCCAGGGAGUUCCCCUUAUGGUGCAGCAGAAACAAAUCCGACUAGGAACCAUGAGGUUGUGGGUUUGAUCCCUGGCCUUGCUCAGUGGGUCAAGGAUCCGGCGUUGCCAUGAGCUGGCAGCAACAGCUCCGGUUAGACCCCUAGCCUGAGAACCUCCAUAUGCCAUGGGAAGUGGCCCUAGAAAACGAAAAGAGACCAAAAAAAAAAAAAAAAAAAAAAGAAAAGAAAAAAAAAAAAAGAAAAUUUGUUUUAAUGGAAAAGUUUGAUGAGUUCCCCUCGUGGCUCAGUGGUUAGCAAAUCCGACUAGCAGGUUUGAUACCUGGCCUCGCUCAGUGGGUUAAGGAUCCGGGGUUGCAGUGAGCUGUGGUGUAGGUUGCAGACAGAGCUGGGAUCCCGCAUGACUGUGGCUGUGGUGUGUAGGCCAGAGGCUACAGCUCUGAUUGGACCCCUAGCCUGGGAGCCUCCAUAUGGUGCAGGUACAGCAAAACAAACAAAACAAAACAAAACAAAAAGAAUCUCUAGUUGCAUCCAUAUUGCUGCAAAUGGCAUCAUUCUCUUUUAUGUCUGAGUAGUAUUCUGUUGUAUAUAUGUACCACAUCUUAAUCCAUUCAUCUGUUGUUGGAUAUUUAGGUUGCUUCCAUGUUUUGCAUUUGCCAGCUUUAUUGUGUAAAUACUCCCAUUAUGGCCAAUUUCAAACUACUGAUGUGAUGUCCCUGAUGCUGAAUCUGGAGGAGGUACACCUGGUCAGCUCUCCCAAGCUAUGUAUUCAGGUUUCAGCCCAUCACUGCUUAUAAUGCAUCCUUGUUAGGUGUCUGGAGACCUUGAGAAAAUCAGAUAUUAUAUUUCAGAAUGGCUAAGGGAAUAGAUGUACUUAAAGUUAAAUAGUAUUAAAAUGUUUAGAGUUAUCUGAAGUAUGUGAGAUUUGUAAAUUAAUUGAAUAUUAAUUGAGUAACAAUAUUAAAUAUAUAUAUUUUUUGUUUUUUAGGGCCACACUGGUGGCAUAUGUAAGUUCCCAAGCUAGGGGUUGAAUAGGAACUGUAGCAGCUGGCUGUGCCACAGCCACAGCAAGGCAGGAUCUGAGCUGCCUCUUUGACCUAUACUGCUGCUCACAGCCGGAUCCCUAAGCCAUUGAGUGAGGCCAGGAAUUGAACCCGCAUCCUCAUGGAAACUAGUUGGAUUUGUUUCUGCUAUACUGCAACAGGAACUCCCUAUAUUUUUUAAAUAAAAAGAUUUAUGGGAGUUCUCUUGUGGCACAGCAGGUUAACGAUCUGGCCUUGUCACUGAAGUGGCUUUGGUUGCUGCUCUAGCCAGAGUUUCAAUCCCCGGCCUGGGGAUUUCCAUAUACCACGGGUGCAGCCAAAAAAAAAAAAAAAAAAAAAAAAAAAAAAA